GGAGUGGGGCGGGCGAUCGCGGUGCAGAGAUGCGCUGAGGAAAGUCCGGACUCCCAGGGCGGGGUGCUGGGUAACACCCAGGAGGCGUGAGCCUCGGAUAGGGCCAUAGAAACGGAAACCGCCCGAGAAGGGCAAGGGUGGAAAGGUGGGGUAAGAGCCCACCAGCGUCGGGGUGACCCGGCGGCUUGGCAACCCCCACCUGGAGCAAGGUCAAACAGGGGAGGUCUGAGGUGGCCCGCCGAAUCCUCCCCGGGUGGACCGCUUGAGGGGUGUGGCAACACACCUCCCAGAUAGAUGAUCGCCCACGACAGAAUCCGGCUUACAGCCCCACUCCCACG
rnacentral:RNase_P_RNA from 1 species